UACGGGGGGGGCAAGCGUUGUUCGGAAUUACUGGGCGUAAAGGGCUCGUAGGUGGCCAACUAAGUCAGACGUGAAAUCCCUCGGCUUAACCGGGGAACUGCGUCUGAUACUGGAUGGCUUGAGUUUGGGAGAGGGACGCGGAAUUCCAGGUGUAGCGGUGAAAUGCGUAGAGAUCGGGAGGAACAUCUGUGGCGAAGGCGGCCAUCUGGACCAGCACUGACACUGAGGCACGAAAGCGUGGGGAGCAAACAGG
rnacentral:rRNA from 1 species